UGCGUAACGCGUAACCAACCUACCCGAAAUCUGGGGGAGUAGCCCGCCGAAAGGCGGAUUAAUACCGCAUAAAACUGCAGCACGGCAUCGUGUCACAGUUAAAGAUUUAUUGGAUUCGGAUGGGGUUGCGUGCCAUUAGCUAGUUGGGGGGGUAACGGGCCCACCAAGGCGACGAUGGCUAGGGGAGCUGAGAGGCUGGUCCCCCACACGGGCACUGAGAUACGGGCCCG
rnacentral:rRNA from 1 species